CUUGAUCGACCCCAACCACAAAGGUUUUCCGGGCUCCGCCCGAUCCUGGCCGUAGGUCGCCAACAACGCCUGAGCCUC
rnacentral:antisense_RNA from 1 species